rnacentral:rRNA from 1 species
GACGAACGCUGGCGGCGUGCUUAACACAUGCAAGUCGAACGGAGAGGCCCUGCUUUUGUGGGGUGCUCGAGUGGCGAACGGGUGAGUAACACGCGAGUAACCUGCCCUUGACUUUGGGAUAACUUCAGGAAACUGGGGCUAAUACCGGAUAGGAGCUCCUGCUGCAUGGGGGGGGUUGGAAAGUUUCGGCGGUUGGGGAUGGACUCGCGGCUUAUCAGCUUGUUGGUGGGGUAGUGGCUUACCAAGGCUUUGACGGGUAGCCGGCCUGAGAGGGUGACCGGCCACAUUGGGACUGAGCUACGGCCCAGACUCCUACGGGCGGCAGCAGUGGGGAAUAUUGCACAAUGGGCGGACGCCUGAUGCAGCAACGCCGCGUGCGGGAUGACGGCCUUCGGGUUGUAAACCGCUUUCGCCUGUGACGAAGCGUGAGUGACGGUAAUGGGUAAAGAAGCACCGGCUAACUACGUG